CAGACGCUCCACCUUUCUCUACAAACCCUAACCCUAACCUUCAUUUCAUCCAUCGAUCCUCCACCGCUCCUCCACCGCUCCUCCAUCGAACCGGUCGUUGCCAUCACUGUCUUCUCCCCUUCUCCACUCCAACAGUCGCUUCAUGGCUUCUUUCCCGGUGGCUUCAAGAUCCGACACUAUCUCAGCAGAUUCGACACCAGAUCCGACACCAGAUCGAUUUCUAUGGCUUCUUUCCCGAUGGCUUCAAGAUCCGACACUAUCUCAGUAGAUCCGACACCAGAUCUACUGGUUUGACUGUAGGAUCUUCCUUUUGGUUGUGGGUUCGUCAACGAUGGUGCUUGUAGGUGGAAGAUCUGGCAAGAUCUAUGGUUUAUUUGUAGUAGAUUUCUCUCUAGAAUAGCACAACAAGCACUCUGUUCUUUGGUUUCGAACAGUGCGAGGUUAUGGCGUCUGCAAAUGCUGAGCUGGAGCGACUGCUUAAGGAGACAGGGAAACAGUUAUCGCUUCCUCAUGAUUAUUGGUACAUCAUACAUGGGGUCGACUGGUCGAGCAACUAUUUCUAGCGGCACUUCAACAGUUAUCAUCUUGCAGGUGUCUAUAAAGCUUAUGAUUUAAGAGAUGAGGGUUCCGACUACUUAGGAAAAGCUGUCUCCAAGGUGAGAACUAAUAGUCUGGGUUAGUGAGGCUAACUGCCUUUGCAGGCCAGAUCAGUCCCUU